AAGUCGUAAUAAGGUUUCUAUAGGUGAACCUGCGGAAGGAUUAUUACUGCUUGCUUAUGGCUGCCUGGCGGGGAAACCCCCUUAGUGGUAUAGUAACACCUACCCUUGACUAUAUAUACCUUUCGUUAUUUCCCUCGGCAGGGCAACCCGCUACUAGGGACAAUAAAACCCUCUUGUAUUAAGUAUUAAAACUUCUGAAACAAACCUAAAAUAUCACAACUUUUAAUAAUGGAUCUCUUGGUUCUG
rnacentral:misc_RNA from 1 species